rnacentral:rRNA from 1 species
GAACCUGGAACGCCAGUUUCAGGGGAGCCAUUGUUGGGAUACCACCCUUGUGCUGCUGGGCUUCUAACCAGCGGCCUUUAUCAGGCCGGGGGACAAUGCCAGACGGGGAGUUUGACUGGGGCGGUCGCCUCCGAAAGGGUAUCGGAGGCGCUCAAAGGUUCCCUCAGAAUGGUCGGAAACCAUUCGAAGAGUGCAAAGGCAGAAGGGAGCUUGACUGCGACACCGACGGGUGGAGCAGGUACGAAAGUAGGACUUAGUGAUCCGGUGGUAUUAAGUGGGAAUGCCAUCGCUCAACGGAUAAAAGCUACCCUGGGGAUAACAGGCUUAUCACUCCCAAGAGUUCACAUCGACGGAGUGGUUUGGCACCUCGAUGUCGGCUCAUCGCAUCCUGGGGCUGUAGUAGGUCCCAAGGGUUGGGCUGUUCGCCCAUUAAAGCGGUACGCGAGCUGGGUUCAGAACGUCGUGAGACAGUUCGGUCCCUAUCCGGCGUGGGCGUAGGAUAUUUGAGAGGAGCUGUCCUUAGUACGAGAGGACCGGGAUGGACUGACCUCUGGUGUACCGGUUGAACCGCCAGGUUCACGGCCGGGUAGCCAAGUCGGGAAGGGAUAAACGCUGAAGGCAUCUAAGCGUGAAGCCCCCCUCAAGAUGAGAUAUCCCAUUCUUAAAGAAGUAAGACCCCUUGAAGACGACGAGGUAGAUAGGGCAGGGGUGGAAGUGCCGUAAGGCAUGGAGCUGACUGUUACUAAUCGGUCGAGGGCUUGACCUG